UGGUGUAGUGGUUAAGAGCCAGUGUGGUGUAGUGGUGAAGAGCGGUAGUCUCGUAAUCUGGGGAACCGGGUUUGAGUCUCCGCUCCUCCACAUGCAGCUGCUGGGUGACCUUGGGCCAGUCACACUUCUUUGAAGUCUCUCAGCCCCACUCACCUCACAGAGUGUUUGUUGUGGGGGAGGAAGGGGAAGGAGAAUGUUAGCCGCUUUGAGACUCCUUAAAGGGAGUGAAAGGCGGGAUAUCAAAUCCAAACUCUUCUUCUUCUUCUUCUUAGCACAACCUAAGAGGAAGGCAUGCUCUUGCACUGACAAAGCUCUUCUCAAGCAGCAUGGAGGCACCUCUGCUUCUUCCUAAUCUGUAUCUGGGUGUUGGGAUUUCAGUGUCCCUCAAAUCACUUUUUUUUUAAAAAAAAAAAAGGGUAGAUACAUGAAAGUCUAAGCAAAAUGGUUUCAGAUUUAGCCAGAUGAAGAAGUUAUCCAUUUUAAUAUAUGUGAAAUAUCCCUCCCUUCAUCAAUAUGCAAUGCUUUACAAAUUGAGAGAUUUUAAACAGCAGCUUUGAUACCCUAUCAGGCAGUUACUGGGAAGGGACAAUUUUGACAUUGUACUUGUCAAGUAUACUUGCAUAUAGUUUAGUUCAUAAUAAAUGUCGUUUACUGCAGUCUUUCUGGAAUUCACUAUUUAUUGACACAAUAUAAUGAAAUUCUGGCAGCAGCUAAGAGCAGCUGUUUUCUGUCUUGCUAAAAGAAGCAACUAUCAGAAAUAAAAAUCUGAGAACCACCAAAUGCGUGCAUGAUCACUGUGAGCUCUGUUUUAUAAAAGUUAACCUGAGAAAUAUUGCAACAGGAUUGCAGUAUUUCUCAGGUUAGCUUUUAUAAAACAAAUGAGCGGGAUUCAUUAAAUGUCUGGUGACUACUCCCCCGCUCCUCCCCCCCGCUUAAAAAUACAUUUCCCCUCUAUAACAAUCUACACCCCUAAGCUGUAGUGGAGUUAAUUUGAGCUACGUAUAACCCUAAAUAUUUGCUCUUAUCUAUCACAGGCUCAGGAUCCCAGACUGCUUUUCUACCACAUUUCCUGCCUCCCUCUAAUUACUAUAAGCCAUCCAUUCCAGUCUUGCAGCCUCUUAUCAGUCCCACCCUUACUCAGCAGCAACUUCCCCUGGUUGAUUGCUGCUUCCGUAUUGGUGUCUACAGCCACAGCAGGCGCUGUAACGCUCCAAUGGUUUAACUUGACCCCUGAUGGCAAGCUCUUCCAUUGUAUCUCAAGACAGAUGGAUGCCAGAAACAUACAAGCAAGCAGCCAGUUAACUUCUUUUCCCCACGCUAUACUUCAUAGUCAUUUUGUCACUUUAAUUAACACAUGCUAAAACAGUAACAAACUCCUGCAUAUAACCUGUCUGUGCAGAGCUAAGGCUGAUUCACACAACCAAAUAUUGAACACCGUGCAACUCAAUUAAAUGUGAUAUGUUGAACUGAGUUUCAACUAUUGACCCAGGACCCAGAGGCAUCAGAGCAACUGCCAUGGUCUGGGGCUUGAAAUUCACGACCAAGACUGGAGACAGUUUGAUCACAAACUUUGUACAUAGCCUUAGGCCCUUUCAUUCUCUUCUCCCUUCCGACUUACUUUCCAAGAGCAAUGAAGUAUCUUUAUCUUUCUGUAAUGGAAUUCAUUCUCACCAGACAGGAAGAACUUUAAGAGUCCAAAGUGAUGGUCCCUGCCUUGAGGAAAUAAACAUUUAGGCGACAUGAAAAACAAGUGCAAUAUGCUCUCUUCAGACUAUACAGCUUAGCAGUUUAUCCAGUUAUGAUGUAUUGGCGGCAAUAUCUUCCUGGACAUCCAACCACACACUGAGCAAAUUGUAAAGAUUCUCACUAGUGGAAAUGAAUAAAUGGGCUUCUGUAGUUGAGCCAGCAUUUGAGGAAAAAUGGCCUGCUCUCAGCCACUCUUCUAGUAGGUGUCCGAAAGGCCUGCUCAAAUAAUGGUCAUUGCUGGUAGUUUAUUACAUGAAAGCUACGAGGAUGAUAUACAUCCAGUAAAGUCAAAUAACAAACUCUAGAGGAACAAAUGUUACCCUUUCUGCUGGCACUAAAGAAGACAACAACUGGUAGCUUUUGGAACAAUGCUAAGCAAUUUGGGGUGCCUUAUAUAUAAUAAUAAUAGACAUUGGCUCUCUUAUUCUGCAAUCCUAAACAUGUUUCUUAAGGAUUGCAGCAUUAAAGGUUAUGUUAGGCUCCCACAGUUAGUGGGAACCUUCUGAAGGUUAUGUCCCAGUGGUAGCUGGGGCCAGAGGCAAAAGUGACCCAAGGAACGGAUAUUACUGUAUUAAGAAAAAUGUCCAGUAAACCCAAUGCUAGGAAGAAUUCUGAAUUAAGCCACAUCCCAAAUCUAAACCAAAACAGAGGUACUGACCUUUUGGAAAGUAGUCUGUUCCAUGUGAAUUAUGUUUCUUUUUGUGUUUUGGUUGUUUUAACCAUAUAUCUUCCAGACAUAAAAUGACACUGUUAUUUAGAUUCCUGUUUCACACAGUAAUAAUCUUUUGGCUGUAAUUAUAAAUCCACAUCCUUUUUAUAUCAUGCUUUGAGUUCCCCUGCAGGGCAGCAGCUGAUGCCUCGGCUUGGGGAAACAGCAUCUUUGCUCCUGCUUUUACAACCUGUCAGAGGAGAUAUCUCCAAAGUUUGUUUCAGACCGGGAGCUGGAAGACAACAGAGCUGUCGAUUUCAGUAAACAGCCAAUAGCAUGAUAGCAUGAAAAAGCCUCCACAAAUCAGUCACACAUAGGAAGUUGCCUUAUACUAGGUCAGAUUGUGUGCCCAUCUCUCCCGACAUUGUCCAUUCUGAAUGGCAGCAGCUCCCUACUAUCUCAGACAUGGGUCUGUUCCAUUACUUGCCACCUGCUCCAUCUAGCUGGAGAUGCUAAGGAUUGAAUAUGGGACCCUCAGCAAGCAAAACAUGUGCUCUGCCACUGAAAAUCAGAGAAGAGGGACAGUCUCUUCAGAAAAGGGACGUGAAGAAUGUAAUGAUGUAAUGCACAGUUGUUCCAAAACUUUCAUGGGAUCAGAAAUAGGAUUGAGGAAACCAUAUUUGGAAGAGAAUUUAAAAAGAAGCAGAAUCCAAUGCUUGGAAUGCAGAAAAAACUGAGGGUGUUGUAGUGCAUAAUGGUCAAUGACAUCUGUUAUACGAUUUUUAAUAAAUACAAAGGCAGGAGCAAUAAAGCAAGUCCACUCAGAAAAUAAUACAAUCAUAUGAGGUCGUAAGGAGUAUAAUACAACAUGGAGAAAUAUAUAAGCCAUUACAGCCUGCAGAAUGAGUAAUUGACAAAUGGAAUUUGUUGUCACCAGAUGUAGUGAUGGCCACUGGUUCAGAUGGUUUUUAAAAACUUGGCACAUUCAUCAAGCGCAUAUCUUUCAAUGGCUAUUAACCAGAAGAGCUAAAUAAAAGUUCCACAGUCAGAGGAGAUACAGUCAACUCAACUGUAUCUCCGUUUAUCAUUUUUUCUUUCUUUCUUUUUUAAUAUUUAUUUUUAUUUGCGUUUCUGAUACAAUUCCAUAUCAAAGAAAUAAACGGAAAUAAUGCAAAGGACACAAAAAAGAAAACUCUGAAAUAGAAAAGAAAUAACAAUUUUAGGAUAUCAAAAAAUAAAUAGAAAGUCACAAAGCAUUCCUCCACCGACUUCCCAUCCUCUCCUUCCAUGGUUCCUUUUGUCUCCUCUUUUUCUUGCAUUUUCUUGGUUCACCCUCUCUAUCGCAACUACUUAGAUACACAUUAGUUGUUUCCUACACUGCUGAAAAUGUUUCCAUCCUGCUAGCUUAAGUGUUUGUUAUACUUUUUCAUAUAUUCAAUAAAAGAUAUCCAGUUUUCCUUACAGUUUUCAUCAUUUUGAUUUCUUUUUCUAGUGGUCAUCCCUGCUAACUCCAUGUGUUCUAACACUUUAAUAUGCCAUUCUUCUUUUGUUGGUACCUUAUCUGUUUCCCAUUUGGGGGCUAGUAAUAAAUGUGCAGCUGUUGUCACACAGAGGAACAAAUCUCUCUCUUUUUUAGACAUUUCUGUUGUUAUUAACCCCAGCGACAAUGCUUCUGGGUUUUUAGAAAAGGGUUUCUUAAACAUUUUUUUAGUUCAAUAUGAAUCUUUUCCCAGUAGUUUUUAAUUAUACUACAUAUCCACCACAUGUGGUAAAAGGAUCUCUCUGCUGUCUUACAUUUCCAGCAAUUGCCCUUUGUUGAUUUUGACAUUUUUGCUAGUCUAUUUGGUGUCAGAUACCACCUAUGCAGCAACUUCAUAAAAUUUUCUCUUAGUGUGUAGCAUGCUGUAAACUUUACAUUUACUUUCCACAGCUGCUCCCAUAGUGCAAAAUUGAUAAUGUGUCCCAUGUCCCUGGCCCAAUUUAUCAUUGCAGAUUUAACCAUCUCCUCCAUUGUUUAUCAUUUUUCUAAUCUUUUUCUGUUUGAAAAAAAUUCAGACUUUCCCAGUCUUCAGUUCAGUCCCCCACAUUUUCACAUCAGUUUGCAAUCAUUAUUAAUUUUUAAAUAUCACCAGGCAUUUUAGAGAAAACUUUAGAGAAAUAUUUGCAAAGCAAUUUGCUCCAGUAUAAUGCAUGUCUGUGCAUGUUGUGUUAUUCUCACUAAUAUGUGCAUUUUAUGCACAAUUUGCCCUAGUAUAUGCAUUUUGUACACAUUACCUGACUGGAAAACUGUGCUGCAAAAUUCAAAGAAGUGUGACUUUUGGAAGAAUGGUUGUUAAAGAAAACAGGAUUCUGCCCUAGAUGGGCAUUAGAUCUGAGCCAUCAGAGCUAUUCUUCCAUUAAGGACACACAAAUAAUAGUUCAGUGUUCCAGUUACUAUUAACUGUAUGGCUUGGUGCACAGACCAGGCAAGUUACGAGCCAAGAUGUUGAGGAACAGAUUAAGAGUGACAGAUGGAGUGCAGGCUAAAUAAAGCUACGGAGACUUGUUGAGGCAUAAAUUAAAGGUAAUAGAUGAAGAUUUAUAAUACCUGACCAAAGGUUCUUAAUAUCCAAUCUGACUCAGGCUGCAGCCGGUGUUGUUCAACUGUCCUGCUGCUACAAGUCACAUACAAGUUGAAUAUUAAGACCAUUGGAGCAACAGGCUGAUGUAAAUGAAAUAUAUCAGCCAAUCUCAACAUAGACACUAGAGUCACUGCUCACACCAUAUUUCCCCCCUAAUGUUCUUCUUGUCUUUCUGUCUCAGAGAAAGCAGCCUUCUCUAACUUCCUAAUAAGCAUAUGUUCAUAGACAGACAUAUUGUCAUCUCUCUCUCUCUCAACAUUCACAACAUUUUUUUCCUCUUUGUCCCGCUCUGAACUGACAUAAUUCAGCAUGCUGUGAAAAUGGAACCCAAGGUCAGGGUCUUUCAAAUUUCAGCAGCACCCUGUGUGAGGACAAAAUUUGGUGGCCCCCUUCCCUUUGCCUUCCACUCUCCUCAAUUCAUAGUUGUGACACCCUGUGGCACACCCUAGGCUUAGUGCCCAGUGUGGAAGAACUGGUCGCAUUGCCCUAAAUCUGCCCGUGCCAAGGUGAGACAGGUCUGGGUUCUCCUGUCUAUAGUGCCCAUUGAGUUUUAUGAGGCACAGUAGAAGAGCUGCAGUAAGCUAGGAAGCACAUGGGACACGGGUGGCGCUGUGGGUUAAACCACUGAGCCUAGGGCUUGCUGAUCAGAAGGUCGGCGGUUCGAAUCCCUGUGACAGGGUGAGCUCCCAUUGCUCGGUCCUUGCUCCUGCCCACCUAGCAGUUCGAAAGCAUGUCAAAGUGCAAGUAGAUAAAUAGGUACUGCUCUGGCGGGAAGGUAAACAGCGUUUCUGUGUGCUGCUCUGGUUCGCCAGAACUGGCUUUGUAAUGCUGGCUACAUGACCAGGAAGCUGUACGCCGGCUCCCUCGGCCAAUAAAGCGAGAUGAGCGCUGCAACCCUAGAGUCGGUCACAACUGGACCUAAUGGUCAGGGGUCCCUUUACCUUUACCUAAGCUAGGAAGCAAUGCUGCUAGAUGGCGCUUGAAAGCUUUAAUAACCUUCCCCCUUCAAGAAACCAAAAGUAGGUUUAGCUCUCACCUCAGUGGUGUCCUGGUGUCACUGUCACUUUAACUGUACAUGUGGGAAUGUUGUUCUUUAAAAUUCGGCAUCUUUUACUUCUUGUGUAUUUAAUUAAAUGAAAAUUACAAUAAUUUUUGCCUGUCCAUUAUCCAUAGAUCUCAGGGAGGUUCCAAAUUGUUAAAGCAACAAUAAUACAUCCGAAUAUAUAUAAUGUGUGUGUGUCAUAUAUGCAGGGGAAGGAAGUAAAGAGAGAGAGAGAGAGAAAUGGAAACACUGACUACUUAUUUAAAUGUGGCCUAAGAUUGAAAUCUAAAUUGAAAUAAUAAAUGAUUGACUAAGAAUUGCUACUUUCAGAAUACACAUCACUUAGCUUCCACUUCUUUUAGUGAGUAGAUUGUGGCAGGGUAACAAUCUAAAGAGUCUGGCUUUUGCUCAGCUAUACAGCUGCAAAUGAAAUGUUUUAAGUGUGUUUUAAGUGCAAUAUACAAUGUGACACUAGAUGGUGAUGCUGAGCCUUAUGGAAAAUUCAAUGUAUUUUUUAAAAAUGCUUAAGAAAGCAUUUUCAGGAUGGUUUUUUAAAAAAAUGUGUGUUCAUUCCACCUUAACUGCACCCACAUAAGUACUGAGUAGUCAAAUGUUAAGCAUAACUAGCAGCAUAUUUAAAAUAUUUAUCAAAAUUCUACAUAGAAUCCUACAGUGUGGAGACAAAAAGGUAUUUGCAUUGUCUUUUAAAAACCUUGAUCCUUCUUUGCACAGUUUAUAUUUUUUACGCUAACUGCUCUUUCUGUACUGCUCACUGUUUCAUGUCCUCUCUGUUUCCCAUGUCCAGGUAAAUUGAGGCAAACUAGAAUGAAAUAGUUUAAUUCUGUGUGAGGGGUCAGAGGUUUCCAAUGGACUGCAAAUUACAUAUGCGCUAACAGUGUGGUUUUGAUGUAACAAAGGAAUCUUCCAUUCUGAGGUGCUUUCAGUAGAUAGUCUUCCAAACUCCUCAGUAGAAAUAUUAACAAAGAGAGUGAGAACACACACUCAACCUAGGGCUCUAUAGGUGUUUCCUUUAUUUCCCCCUGUUCAGCUAUGGACUGAGUCAGCCAAGUGGAACUGAGGUUAGAGAUCUCCUCCAUGUUCAAAGAAGACCAGGCAGCUCAAAAGAUCGAGUAAUGGGGCAUCUCUGGAAGAGAGAAAAAUGAGAGUUCUUAAGAGGCAGAGAGUGAGGAAACAGUUGCAGAAAGCAGGCUAGAAUGAGACAAUGCAAUAAAGUUUUUAUAUUGUCAGAGGACAUACUUUAGGUUAAAUAUUGGGAGGAAUUUCCAGUUAGAAAACACAGCAAAUUGCUAAGGGGGCGGGUUAAUUACCUCACCCCACCCAUGUAAGCACUAGUUGUAAAAUAGAUUUAAACAUAGGUUGAUUGGUUUAUAAUUGGUUUAUAAACAUAAUCUAUUGGAUGCAACAUCAUAUGGUGUGGUCAGAUUGAAACUUAAGGGAAAGAAUCAGUGAGCCAUUAUUCUGUUAGGCCACAACUGAUAUUAAUGGGCCUGUCCUGGUGUGAGGCAACAUCAGCUAUAGCCUUAAAGUUGUAUGUAAUACUUGUGUGCUUGUUGAAGUGUAAGGAUGAACAUCUGCCUCAUUUUGUUUUGCAUUUUGCUACAGUACAUAUUUUAUGUUAAUUAAGUUCAUAAUGAAAGCUAAAAAGCUAAAAAGAGAAACCCAGUUGGCAUGGAUAUAGCUGAGCAAUUAUCUGGUGUAACUGCUUGUUUGCAUUAGCUAGUGAUGUUAGUGAUGCAAACAAGCAAUGAAGGAAUAACAUUAAAGCUGAUUUCUAAAAAAGAAAGAAUGUGAGUGAAUGGAAGUUGCAGACUGAGAAAAAUAAAAACAAGGUAUCAUAUAAAUUGAAAUACAUUAGUUUCCAGUGGGAAAGGGAUAAAAGUUUCUUGCAAAAAUCAGGAAAAGAACUAUUUAUAUAUAGUAACUUUAUUUAUACAUGUGUAGCCCACCACGUUCCAUGGAUUCACACCUGGCAAAGUACUGAGCCUGCUAUCCAAAUUGAUAGAGCAAGGUAUUCUCCUGUCCCCACCUCUGGGUACCUGGUGAGGCAACUGUACAUUUUCCACUGUGACAGAAGAACAAGUCAAAGCUAAACUGUACUUUUUAGACAAUGUAUAGGAGCAAGUGCAAGCUAAAAUUCCAGUGACCAGCAACUUCCUUCUUGGUGUCAUUGUUUUCCUCCAACACAUCCAUUCUCAAGGUGUACCUUUGCCAAAUUGCAAAUUCUAAUCCACUGCUGGUCCUUCCAUUCAUGUUAGAAUUAUCCUUUGGGAUCCUAGAAAGUUAUCAGGAGGUAUGGACAAAAGGACAAGGAGGUGAUGGCACUUGGAUGCUCGGGAAAAUGGACAGGCAAGAAUUUUAAGAGUGUAAUCCUGUACACACAUACCAAAGAAUACAUCCCAGCCCACCAAACUUGUGGGACUUAUUUAUGAGUAGACAUGUAUAGGUUCUCACUGUUAAUAGACUGAAAUCUGAACCUGAGAAUGGGAUGUAAAUAGGGUGUAAAUAAAGAUAUUUUCCAUUUCUACAUUGGAAUUCUACAUGGAAUUCUACAUUCCAUUUCUACAUUGGCUCCCAGUACGUUUCCGAGCACAAUUCAAAGUGUUGGUGCUGACCUUUAAAGCCCUAAACGGCCUCGGUCCAGUAUAUCUGAAGGAGCGUCUCCACCCCCAUCGUUCUACCCGGACACUGAGGUCCAACACCGAGGGCCUUCUGGUGGUUCCCUCACUGCGAGAAGCCAAGUUACAGGGAACCAGGCAGAGAGCCUUCUCGGUAGUGGCACCCUCCCUGUGGAACGCCCUCCCACCAGAUGUCAAAGAGAACAACAACUACUAGACUUUUAGAAGACAUCUGAAGGCAGCCCUCUUUAGGGAAGCUUUUAAUGUUUGAUGUAUUAUGGUAUUUUAAUAUUUUUUUUGGAAGCUGCCCAGAGUAAUUAUUAUUAUUAUUAUUAUUAUUAUUAUUAUUAUUAUUAUUAUUAUUUCUGUAUCUGUAUAGUGGUUUAGCCCUCUUCAGAAGAACCUUCCAUGCAUGGAAUCAUACCCACCAGUCCUGUCCCCCAAGCCACUGAUGUUAUUGGCCUCAUCCACUGUCCAUCACCCUUUUCUCUCAUACAGCUUUGAGUCACCUUAAAUUUUCUGCUGUGCCCCAAAUACUGAGCUGGGGCACUGAGGGCAAUCAGUUUGGAGUACCGUUGCUCCCCACUACUACUUCUGAUUAUUACCUGUUUUAUAUUAUAUUCUAUAUAUUAUAUUAUAUAUUAUAUUCUUGUUUUAUAUUAGAUUGCUUUGAGCCUCCAUUUAGCAAAAGCAGGAUACACAUUUUAUGAAAAAAAUAUGUUGAGGAAGUCGAGAGGAUGUUGAGAGGGGCACUGAUGUUCGUAGAAAGAACUUAGGGUAGAGGAGUCAAGCGAAGAGCCAUCUUUGUUAUUGCUUGCUAUUUGAAUUUAAUAUGUCUUUACCCCCUGAUCCUAAAAGCCUUAUGAAGGAAGUCUUUCAGGGAAUAAACUUUCUACAUAUUCCAGUUUCACUCUUGUGCAGACCUGGCAACCUCUUAGUUUAUUACAGUCAAUGCUGCAAAUUUUUUUUUAAGCUCUGAGUAUCAGAGACUCACUUUUCCUUCUUAAAAUCAAUAUUAAAUUUAAAAGGAGUCUAGCACUGGGGAUUUAAAAUGGGAGGAAAUCACUAAUAGAGCUGUGUUUCUGUGAAGUGGAGAGCUGCUGUUUUCAAAACCAAAUGAAGCUCCAAAAUGACUAUAAAGAAGGAAGAAGACUUGACCAGUUAGAUAUAAAUAGAUAACUUCUCCUAAUAAGAAAAAUAGAAACAACUAUGGACAUUGGCUUGCAUAUUGCAAGAGAGUGACAAGAAAUAAAAAUGUCCAAGUUUGCAGUCAAAAGUCUUUGAAGAGUUUUCAUGAAUUUGACAAGGAGGUUAGAGGAAGUUAUACCAGAGCAGUUGGACCUCAGUUCACCAUCUGUCAAACGGUGCCUCACAGGUAACAACGUCUACCACCAGCAAAACAAAUAACAACAAUAACAAAUGUUUCAUAGAGAAUGCUCAAAGCAGGGUAGGAUGUCAUCAGCCUUCUUUUCAGGCAGAUCUAUAACCCUCCCAUUUCAUUUAAGGAUGAUAUAACUGAACCUGAACAAACCAUCCUUUUUAUUCCACUUUCAAACCCUUCCAUUUUUCUGGGUAUUAAUAGUUCACAGUAACUAGUGAUAAUCCAUCCACUAGUAUGUGAAUAGUAUCCUUAUAUUAUUUAACUGCUAGGCAGCACUGGACUUGGUUGUAUAUGAGUUGAGUCAUGAGUUUCCUAUUAAUGUUCUGUUCCUGUUGAAGAACGUUCUUGUCUAGCUUCUGACUGGCAUGAACUCGAAGUCUUCCACGACAUAUAGUUAAAACUGGGAAUUUUUAAUUUAUCCAAGGAUCAGAGAAAAUAAUUCUAUUUUUUUCUGUCAUUGUUUCCUAGGAUGAAUGCUUGUUUGUACCAAUACAGUGUGUGUGAUGAGGAGCCUGAUCCAAAGACCAAUUAAGCCAAAUUCUCUUACUUAAAACCAGGCCCCUUGUUAAAGGCUGUGCAUUGGAUUCAGGUGAAUUUCCUAUCCCGACAUGGCCGGACAGCGACAAGGUGGAUGCCGAUCUUUGCCUCCAGCUGGAUCACUGUGGGGCCCGGGGCCCGGCAGCAACGCCAUCCACCAAAAAGAUAAGCGGACUUCUUGGAGAUAUUUAAGGCUUCUUAGAGGCAAAGCAGGAUCUAUAUGAGGUAACAAACACUGCCAAAGUAGGCACCCCAUCCCAGUGAUCCAAACAUCAAAAAAGGCUGCAGACUGGCAUCUGCUGAUGGUAAAUGUCAUGUCUUCAACCUUACCAUAACACCAGGGUGGCAUGAUGGAAGACCCUCCAAGUGUCCCUAUUUUCCAGGGAUGUCCCUGAUUUAGAGAAGCCAUCCCAGUUUCUGAUUUGACCCUGAAAUGUCCUAAUUUUCCUUAGGAUAUCCCUAUUUUCAUAGGAGAAAUGUUGGAGGGUAUGGAGUUAUCUGACUCUCGAGCCGUCUGAAAGCAAUCCUGUAUAGGGAAGGGUUUUUUUUAAUGUUUUAUGAUGUUUUUAUGUAUGUUGGGAGCUUCCCAGAGUGGUUGGGGCAACCCAGUAAGAUGUGUGGGGUAUAAAUAGUAAAAUUAUCAUUAUGGAAUGGGACAUCUCUAUUUUCACUGGAGAAAUGUUGGAAGGCAUGUGAUUGGAGAAGGUGGAACAAGCACAAGAGUGGAGGAAGGUUGCUGAGGGAGACCCCUGUUGCGACUGACAGGUCUAGCAGGAAAUCAGAGGAGUUGAUUUUACCUGGAAAGCAAAUCUGUUAAUCCACCCCACCCCAAAAUCAACUUUCAAGAUACCUAGGAUAAAUGCACCUUGACCUGAUAAUCUGUAAUCUGCCAGGUUUCUUAGCCAAUGGCACCGAUCCUCUGCUGGCAAUUUUCAGACCAAUUUCCCACAGACACUAAGGGAGAUUAAAUGAUUCCCCUCCUAAACCUAUAAUAAUGGCUGUCCUUGUAGGAAUACCACUGCUGUGAUCCAUCACAAUCUGGCAGGCGCCUGGCUUCUAACUGAAUUGGACUGGAUUGGAAGUACACUGGAAUUUUAUCCCAGUAGAGAGAAUUCCAAUAACAAACAUUUGGAGCUAUAGCUACGAUAAACACAGUCCUUACAUAGAGUUUGGCCAAUUAAUGUUGGCAUUGCAGAGGCCUUAUGCUCUAGACAUGUAUGCCAAGGCAAAUAAUUUAACAUCAUUAUGAAAACAUAUUUGUACUGGCACUGGCUGUCUGAACAAAAUGGCUUCCCCCCCAGUUUGAGCAGCUCAGAUUCUGACUUACCAGAGAUCCAUCAGUUUUGUAACCUGUUUGUACUAGGAAUGCUCUCAUGGGGAUCCGAGGGAUCUGGGUUCCACUUUCUGUAUGCCAUUCCUAAUCCCCACAGAGCUAAAUCAAAAAGGUUCUUGAUUGUGCCUCGCUUGGUUAGGGAGCAUCCCAUGUAGAAUACCUUUGAAAAGGUUUCCUAUACCCAUAUUUUUAUUUACACAAUAUCUUGACGUAGGCCAUGGUGCAAAGAGGGAUGGAUGGACACAAACACAAAGCAGCCAUCUGCUCUGAAGGCUGGUUGAGGAAUUCAGCCUUUGUGACUUUUCACAUGAAUUGUGCAUAUUCCAUACAACUUGGAGCCUAAUAAAUAAUAAUAAUAAUAAUAAUAAUAAUAAUUACCCCACCCAUCUGGCUGGGUUUCCCCAGCCACUCUGGGUGGGUUCCAACAGAAGGUUAAAAAUACAUUAAAAUGUGCAGACUGGAAUUUAGUUAUUCACUGGAUUUUGCAUUUCUUGAAUACAGCUUUAAGCAAACAAAAACAAAAACCCAUUAACUUUCAUUUUUUUUUAAAAAAAAGUGUAUUUGAGAGAUGGUGCACUUAGAAAUAUAUAUUUAAAUGCACAGUUAAAUGCAUUUUUUUACAUUAAAACAAUUGCAGAUUAAUAUGAAAAAUGAAACAGAAGUGGAAAUUGCUGGUGUUUACUUAUUCACCCCCUAACUGGAAUGGAAAUCAAUGCUUUCCGUUCGCAAAUGAUUCAUAACUGUGUGUUGGAAAGAAUGGGAAUUAUAUAAAUGACAAUUCUGCCACAGCAAGUGAUGUACGUAGCUUCUGGCAGAAGACGAACCGCAGCAGAACAGCAACAGGGCUGCAUGUGAUGAAUCCAGGGAAGGAUGGGAAACAACAUCUUCUUACAUACCUAGUAGACAAUAAGAAUAAAAAGGUAGGAGUAGCAACUGAGCAGGAUGGAUGCUUCCCUUGAAACCUGACCAUGCAAUUAUCACUUCCUUUGCAAAGGACUGCUUUCCAUUUAAUAUAAAUGUGAGAAAAGCAAGGUAGGCUUUAAUCAGUCAAAGUGAUUUAAUAGUGGGUGACAGAACUCUCUGCUGGCUCUAAUUUUAUGCCGCAUGUUGGAAAUUGUUGUUGCCAAUAGUGGAUCAUUCUAAUCCCCCAAGAAGCUUCAUAUUAAUCACUCCUCUUCUUUUCUACUUCCCCAUACAAAAUAAAAAUAAAAUAAAAGUGACUUGCAGGUAAUACAGGCAGCUGGGCUGAAUAUUUUAUUGGGGCUAGAAGUUAAACUCCCUCCCUGCUUUUCCUUCCAAAUCAUCAGCGUUAGCAGAAGAUACGAUUAUCUCUGCUGUGUCUCCCAGUGUUAUCCGCUGUGCUUUACUUCCAAAGGCUUUAUCACCAAGGUGCAGCGUUAAACAAUCUGAAAGGGAUCCAAAACACCUUGAGCAACAUCACAGAGGCAGGGGAGGCAAACGGUGAGAGAAACCCAAAGGUAUCUGACAGGCAACGGCCGGACAAGAUUAUGCAAAAUGUCUCCAGUGACCAAAAGCAACAAAGCAAAGCAAAAGCAAAAUGUCAUUUCACAGCAGCCCUUGAUGCAAUCUUGUGGAUUAAAAAGCCUAGACAGCGCUAGUCAUGAGGAAAUCCAGACUGACUUCUCAUGCACAGAGAGACGCAAAUAUGCCAUUUCAUUGCACCUACUCCAGACAUGAGAAAACAAAGAUAUUAUAUGUGCUGCUUUAAUUGUGUUGUUUCACAUCCUCCAGUUGCAAGUUAGGACAGUCAGUUCACUCAUCCCCCCCCACCCCCCCCAAUAACCUAGAGGUUCUGAGCAGGUAACAAGCCUCAGAAAACAAUCAAAUCAAUGUUAAUAAAGGCAGUAACCAUUGUAAAUCAUAAAACCUCACGAGUAUUCCUCUUCCUGCCCCCACUAUAUACGAGUUGUCAGCUCACAUUGCAACAAAAGAAGCUCAGGUUGAGGCAAAUACAUUAAUUUCCCUGAGAUGAGAGCUAUAGAAGUGUGGGAUUGGCAGUCACCAAGAAGCAAUUUACAUGCUUUGCAGAAUGAGGCAAAAUGUUGUGGUGGUAUUUUCCUGACCUGUGUACUGCCAGCAAGGCUUAUAUUUUUAUUGUUCCCUCAUGCAAAAUAAAAUAAUAAUUAAAUAAAUAAAUAACCCCACUGUUGUAGAAAAGGAAAUAAAGGUUUUGCAAAGCCCCCUUCCCGCUUAACCACUUGACAUCACACCGAGAGUGUUUGAUGUGGAGAAACAUGGGGACAGCAGCAAUGAAACCCCGCUCUGCGGUCUGAGCUGCUGUACAUCAGAAUUCUCUCAUCACACACUACCACCUCAGUAUGUGCAAAGCGUAAAACUUGAGACAUUAGAUUUAUUCAGAAGUUACCAUGUGUUCUAGGAGAGGGAGGGGUAUGCUGGUGAAGGAGAACUAUAUAUGGUGACCCAUAUACCCCCAGUGUUUCCAUACCACCAUCUCCCCCCCACACACACACAAUGGAAGGUAUAAAGGUUUAGACCUGUGCACAUUCAGCUGACUCUAACUAGGUUGCUCCAUGAGAUUGGAACCCUCAGUCACACAGUACUGAUAAUUGCACAGAGGAAGAACCUAGAAUCAGCUGAAUUCACAAAGAUCUGGAGAUGAAGCCUAGAGGCGAUGUUCUGCGCUGGCUCUGGCAUGCACAGCCUCAUUCCCUCCUCCAUCUGCUCCAGGAAUGGGUAGAAAACAACUUCUAAAUGGGGCUAUUGGCUUGGGGCUCAGGUUUCCUUCUGUGAAUAGAGAAAAAUUUGUAUUAUUAUUAUUAUUAUUAAACGGGAUUUCUUGCAUCUUUACUUUUUACAGAACGCUACAUCUCUCCCCAAAAACUUCUGGUGGUGGUGGUGGAAGACUUUGGGGAUUCACCUGAGAUAUGGUGCAGUGGUCCCAACUCUCCUCCUUAUGCAAAUGGAACAGUAACUUAGGAUCCCAGCCAAUGUUUUCAAAAUAACAUUAGACAUCUUCCUCUCAUAAGGAUGUACAGCAAGUAGGUGGUGGCGGGCUUCACUCCUCCAUCUCCAUGCAGUCAUGGAAUACCUGAAGGAACCUUAUGUCCACAGCUUCCUCCAGAUGAAGGGAGAGGAGCCUGAAGCCAGCAAUACCUGAAUCAGCCUUCUGAGUAGUGCUCAACUUUGUGUGUAAGUGUGUGUUUCUAAAACUCUCUUAGAUUUUGCUUUUCCUCAUUUCCCCCCAUUUGAAUUUUGAUGCGGCGCACAUAUCGGAUGAUAAAUCUCACUCAAGCCAGACAAAAUUCUUCCGGGCUUUUCUUGUUCGCUACUUGUUACUCGUUUGACAGAUUCUUACAGAAUUAGUCUUAGUACCUUCCUGGAGAAGUGUUGUAAAUAAUUACAGUUGACAAUUCCACCUAAGAAAGAUCAAAAACAGAGAGAAGGUGGAGGGGGGGAGAGGGAGAAUUUUCAAAUGCAAAAAGGGAAAAAAACAUUGAACGGUUUUGGAGGGGAGGCUAUGGGUAAACACAAACCAAGAUAGCAAUUUCACCACCACCACCACCUCCUCCUCCUCCCUCUUUCACACACUUUCUGUCCCUCUGCCACUUUCCACAUUGAUAUGCAGCAUCACAUCUCUCAACAGGUACAUUCCACUUAUUGGAAUGUUAUUUGAGAACAACUUUAUUAAAGAUGCACUCCGUCGAUACAAUACAAUGCGGCACAGAGAGAUUUGUAUCCCAAAAAGCAUUGCAGAAUGAAAUAAUAGGAGACAGCAGGCAAGGUACCAUAUGAAUUACACACAGAUUGUGAGGCAAAGCCUGUCAGCAGAGGAUAAAUUAAAGUAUUCUGUCAUAUAGCUGGGAACGUGGGGAGAGUCUGAGAGGCACAGCUAGGCCCAAUGACUGGGUGGUGGCGAGUGGGACAAACCGCAGAAGAUACUUGCAUCGCAAUCCUACCUCCAUCUAAUCGGAAGCUCUGUUGAGUGAUACGGGGCUUGUACUGAGGUAUGGGGUUGCCUUAGAAAAACUGGCAAAAGAAAUGGCCAGCCUGGUAGGCACUGCUUCUAAAGAGGUUUUGCAGCUUCUCUCUGGAGAAUCAUCAUCAACAACUUAUGUAGAGCUGCGAACCUACUGCUUUUCAGAGGAAAAUAGCAAGAGAAAAAGGAGAGUGUCUGUCUUGAGAAGCUUACAGCCUGCAGCAGCUGCAGUGGCUGAGAGAAAAUAAGAAGGGAUUAAUGUUUGUUAAUGGAGCUGCAUUUCCUCAUAUAUACAAAUAUAUAUAUAUGUGGUGCAUCUGAGGUCCCCAGUGCUUGAAGUAAACAAGGAAACAAGGGGGCUAAAAGCAGGAAAGGGAAACCAGUAAAAAGCCCACUCCCUCCAUAGGGGAAGGGCCAUGGCUCUGUGGUAGUGCAUCUGCUUUGCAUACAGAAGGUCACAAGUUCAAUCCCUGGCAUCUCCAGGCAGGACUAGGAGACAACCCAGUUUGAAACCUUGGAGAAUCACCAGCAGUCGGGAAGAUGAUGUUGACUCAGAAUGAUCAAACAAUGGCCUGAUUCAGUAUAAGGCAGCAUCCCAAGCUACCCAUUCCUGGUGUCAUAUAUCACCUAGAGGGGAAGAUAAAGAGGUCAAUAUGUUGAUGGUUCUCAGUUCAAAAUAUUGGAAAGGGACACCAGCAACUUUUACACAGUCUCCUCAGGUUGGGAGGCAAAGGGCUGUGUGGGACUCUGGAGGAGGGGGAUCUGGAUCUGCUUUACUCCUUGCCCCCCAUGAUGAUCAGGGACUCUUGCGUCCAAGGAAAGACCUUCAGCUGCCCUCUGACAUAGGAAGGGAUUAGAAAGUGCCUCCGAGGGGUGAUGUAAGAAGCAGUUCCAUGAAUAUGUUUGGUUUCCACUUUGUACACGUACAUUUUGUUGGAGAUACGAAGCCACUGACCUCACAGUCAGUGGCUUUUAAAGUAAGGAUUUGAAGGAAGAGAAGUCACACCACACACAUAUAUAUUCCCAUGGAAUUUCAGGCUUAGGGAGCAGAUCUCUAGAAGGAACCACACUUGUGCUAUGAGAAUAAAUUGUUUUUGGGUACCUCUAAGGAGCUCACGUGGCUUAAUUCUGGAUUUGACUUGUUUCAAGGAAGAAGCCACUUUGGAAGCCUCUGUGUUUUUUCCUUAGUGAUAUAUCUCCGUUUUGACAAAAUGCUCAUGCCUGAUAAAAUAGAAAGGUAUCACUGGGCUUUGUGUUUCUUUGUAUUGUGACAUAUCUAAGAAGAAGCUUCUUUGUGAACAUAAAGCACUUGGAAACACAUGUUUCCAAGGCAUUCUGUUUCUAAGACAUCUUUCUGAACACGUCCCUGACAUUCUUCAUUUCUGAGAUUGAGGGUGUCCACUGUAGAUGUAACUGAAAGGUCUUCACAUCAGAUUUACUAGUUAGUGGAGUGAGCAGCGACCCAAGUUUGUGGUUGUGCAGAGACUAACUCACUUCCGGAAGUGGGUUUUAGCAGGCGCAAAUACCAUGUUCUCUGUAUGACAUGAGUUGUGGAACAAGACUUCUGCAGAUAAAUUGAGCGAUCAUUCUCAGGAUCAAAUGAUGUUUUGAAUUAUCCAUGAUAGUAAUCUGCAGCCAUUUGAAGUUAGUUAAUCUAUCUAUAUAUACAAAUAAUAUUUAUAGCAAGCAAUAAAAGGAGGAAUUUGUGGUUUCAAAAACAUAUCAGAACUAGUAGUAAUAACAUGAAACAAGAGACAUGGGCAAUUGUUUCUAUUCUGCAGUUUAACAACUACUUUUAAAAAGUGUAAGUUACCUUUAAAAGAUUUUGUCCUUUUACAGUGUAAGUUAGCAUUGGGAUGUUAUUGUUAUAGGAUACUUCAUGCAUGCUUCUUGUAUCUUUGCUUUCCUCCCUCCCUCUCUCACUACACAACAUUUUCACACAAUAGUAAUGUAAUUUCACUAGGGUUUCUGGGGUUUACGAUUAAGCCAAUAAACAUAAUCUUAGGUUUGCUGAAUAAUAUGCAAGAAGACACCAGCACCAUCUGGUUAUUUCAGCACCAUUUAUAGUAUGAAACAGAUGUUACAUUUACUGCACAGAUAUCCAGCAGAAAUUAACUUGAUACAUACCCACCAAUUUGACUGCUUAGUGCUAUAUAAGAGUUGCAAAAUUCAGAUCAAAUUCUGGUAAGCCUCUAUACUAUUUACAUUGGGGUAGCCAAUAUGGUGCCUUCCAGAUGAGGUUGGAUUACAACACCCAUAAUUCCUGAUGACUGGCUAUGCUGGCUGGGAUUGAUGGAAGUUUUAGUCCAACUAUAUUCUAGAGGGCACCAGCUCAGCUAUCCCUGGUCUACGGAAUCACAUCCAAGCUGGAUUAAUUGAAAAGCUGCUGCUGUCAUAGACCUAGUCUUGUGAAAACUAAUCAGGAGGGAUAACUGCAGAUAGAAAGGGUUACGAAUUUGGUCACCAGUGGAUCUCGUUGGGUCAUGGGCAAAAUCACAGAAUCAGAAUUGUAGACUUCUAGAACUUGGAUACUUGAACUGCACUUCACUAGAGAGAGACAUUAGAUUUGGAUGCAGACUUCCUCUUUUGGAGAGGGUAUGGGAGUAAAUAUUUUCCGUCUUUAUUUCUAUUUUUAAAUUGUAUUGUAAUAUGUCAAAUCAAUAAAGACUUUGUUGUUUAAAAUGUAUUCAUAUUAGAACCAGCAAGAUACAUUGAUUCCGCCAAAAGUUUGUGAAAUUGACCAAGUAAUUUGAGGAGAAAUAGCUUUGUGAAAUCCCACCUGCCGCCUUUGUUUCACUGAUUUAUUCUGCUGGUUCAUCUGUGCGUCCUAUUAAACACAGUGGGAUGGCACACUGUGACUAUAUUUUUAACACACCUGCUUCAAUCACUUCAAACACCUUUUAACAAGCCUGCUUCAAUCACUGUCCUUGCUUUGGAAACGUAAUUAACACUGCACCUCUCAAAUAAAAUGAGCUCCUGGAGGUACAAUCUUAAAAUCGGUUUAUAAAAAGUCUGUAAAAGUGUGUAUUUUUCUGUCCGCAAUUUGUUACCACAGUUGCUCUGGAAAUGAGUUUGCAAACAUGUCUGCAGAAUGUUUUCCUGGGGGAAUAGCAUAACAAAACAGCAAUUAAAUGAUUAACUACCAACCACAUUCCACAAAUGAAGGGAGAAGGAGGAGGAGUGGUUGAGGCAGGGCUACACAGUAAACUUCAGAUUGUGAAAGAGGAGGCGAGACAUGGGGUAGUUGGAGAUCUGUUUGUAUGCUUGCUCAGGGCAUGUGUCUCUAAACUGGAGCUGAGCCUAAAUUUCUCAGAAGUCAAUAUUCAGAGUGCUUUAAUUUUUUUCACCCAAUUAGAGAGAGAGAGAGAAAUCACUUUGCAUGAUUUCCCUUAAUUAUUCCCCACAUUUUUUGGGGGGGGGUGUAUGUGGCAGCUGUAAUUCACCACUACCCACACCACCAUGCCCUGUAAUUAUAUUAAUUUUGGGGCAUUGUGGAUGAUGAAAAACAACAGCAGUUUGGGGAGGGGGGACAAAGCAGCAGAAGCAGAAGCAGCUGUGUUUCUACCACUCCUAAUGAUGAGAACCACUUAUGAGAAACUGUUCAAGAAAUCUCCUCUUCUUGACCCACAAAUAGGGUAGAGAAUUUAAGAGAUCCCUUGUAUACAGCUCCUUUCUUAACCUGUCUGCAGACUCCUUCUGCUAUUCAUUGAGUAAGCCCUUCUUGGAAAACAGUGACUGGGGGGAAUUUAAGCUCAAAUGUUGCACACUAGAGAAAUGAUUUUCCAGUAUGAACAUAACUCUAUUGCAGAUGGCAGGUUGCUGCUGCAUGUGCAGUGAAGCUGGCCAAGACUAGCACAUUUUUAGCACAGUGCAAGGAGCUGACCGUGUAACUUUGAAUCGUUUAGUGAAGGCAGCAGAGCGUCCACAUAAAGAGCAGUAGAGAUUAAAUCAGAACUGUUUCCAGAAAAUGAAACUUUUAUUUAGGAAGUAUAACAAAAGGGUUUAACUAGUGAAGGCUUUUGAGGAAAGGGGCGAGAAAAGGAAAAAGAGUGGUGGGUGGAGAAAAACUAAGCAAGGCAGAGAAAUAGAUUGCAAGAGGAAAAUAAUUAUUUAAAGAGGAAACAUUUUUUCCACCAUUUUGCUAAAAAUAUUGAUGAAUCAAAAUGAACCGUGUUUAACUGAGUAAAAAAGAUCUUUAAAAUGAUCCUAUUUCAUAUUUUAUAACAUUUUAGAUUAACAUAUAACACUAACAAACCAACAUAUAAAAUUGCAGUCCAAUUGUUUUUCCUUUUGUUAUAAGGCAACACUAAUUAUUUCUCUUUCCCAGUAUUCUUCCAGGUGAAUACACAAUGAUUGAUUGAAUGAAUGAAUGAAUGAUGGUUCAUCAGUUCACCACAUGUGGUGAAUGAAUAUCACCUUAUCAUUCAUGCACAGGGCUGUGAUUAGUUUUUUUAUUCCAAAGUCUGCUGUUAAGUGAUGCAGGGCCUGCAUUGAAUUUACAAAAAUAAAUAUAAAUGCUUUCUAAGCAAGGAAAGAAGUUCACAUCUUUCUCUUGUCCUCUUAUUACUUUCAUUUGGUGGAUUAUUUUCCCCCUCUGUACCCAACCAGCCCUGGACUGUGGAUGCCAAUGUGUUUACAAAUCAUGCCCCCCAGAAAUACAUGUUUAGUGUUUGCAAUAAAUUAAAAAAAAUCCCAUUUCUUCUGAAGGCCGUGCACCAUUGCCCCCUCUAGUGUCAGACUGAAUAGAUGCUCAACAGCAGAUAACCAUCUCCACCUUAGCAAAGGCACUUCCACUGCAGUACAUGGAGUUGGAAUAGGUGGCACUGGCAUCGGAAUAAAAUUUGUGGGAGCAUAGCAAUAACAACAAACAGUGAAAUCUAGAGUCUCUGUUGUCUUAAAAGCCUUGAAGCAAACAACUCCAAUAAAACCAACAUUUCUGCCUAAAACCCUGCCGCCUGUUUCCAUGCAGUUCCACAUAGUUGCUAUUGCUAAUAAGUCAAGACCAAUUAACUCACAGCUGGAAUCCCUUGAUUUUGUAUACAGAGAGGAAAGUGUUCUGAACUGCAGUCAAACCAUUACAGUGAGGGAAUGCAGUUCCUUCUCCAGAAAGCAGUGAAACUAAUAAGAAGUGAUCCAAAUAACAAUGUUAUGACACCUAGGUAUGCUUGAGAAAUUGCACAUCUUGAUCCGUACCUCCCAGACUAGUAGGGAGGGAUCCCAUGGCCUUCCAGAAAAAGUAUGAAACUACGAUUUCAAGUGCAUACCUUGGGAGAAAUAUGCUUUAUACAUAUUUUAACACAAAUUUCCCUGUCAAUGUUUAAAAAUUGUUGGCUAAUGUGGGAACAGUUCAGAAAGACUGAUUCUUCCAUCCCCCCUAUCUCCUUCUUACACUUCCCAUUCCCUUCUAACCUUCUUUUCUAGUUCCAUACACCAGGGGUUGCCAACCUUUCUGAGAGCACUGUGGGUGCCAUUUGAGAGCACUGUGGGUGCCAUUCACAAAAUAGUUCUCAUUUGAGAGUUAGCCACCCCCAAUGACUUUAUGCUUUCCAUGGGAAGUCAUUUAUUUGUGCUCUGAAUGUGAAGAUCACACAAUAUUGAUAUCACACACACACACACAGAGAGAGAGAGAGAGAGAGAGAGAGAGAGAGAGAGAUGCAAUUGUGGUCUAAUAGCAACAACAGGGAGCAUUUCUCAGUACCAACAUACUGUACAUGGUGACCACACCACACUAGCUCUCAUUUCUCUUGCUUAGAAGACACCUGCACUUGUUAGCCUAUAGCUUUCUUUCUGGGAGGGUUAUUUUUAUUAUACAUGAAAUCCCAGCAUCUGGAAUACCUUCUCAGGCGCACCAGUAAAAGCCUUUGGGUGUGCAACAGUGCACACCAGUCUCAGUUUUGUGACCCUAUGUUUUGAAGACUCUAUGUGAACUCUGUUUCAUUUGAGCUUUUUAAGCCGAGGUUGAUGAUCAUCUGUAAUGAAUGCUUUAGUUGAGAUUCCUGUAUUGCAGGGGGUUGGACUAGAUGACCCUCAUGGUUCCUUUCAACUCUACAAUUCUGUGAUUCUAUGAAGAGAAUAUGCUUCUCAAGGCAGUCGUCUUUCCUACUCUGGAACAAAGGAACCUCUAUACCAGAUAGACAAACACAAUCUCACCAGUUUAAAGGAGUACUUUCACCCUAAUGUGUUUCAUAAUUUAUUGAUUUACUGCCCCUUAUAACUACUAUUUGCAAGGAAGGUACAAAAUAAAUACUGCUGUAGAUCAGGAUUACACAAUGUCAGCCUAGACUGGCAAUGCUGAAGGAUGCUGAUACUCUCAGAUUGCCUGAGAAGGAACAUCCUUCUUAGCUAUAGUUCAAUACACUUAAAUAUUUAGAACUGAGCUGCACAAAGUAAGCUGCAAAUUCCAAGCCAAUCAGUCAUACAAUUGCCUCACACACUGCUGACUUUGAAAGACUUUGUAUUUUAACCACAGGGUGGCACCCUGAAAGCCAUUUGUUCAACCACAGGAAACAGAUCAAAACCAGCUUUCUAUAAUGGUCUAUUUUUCAGUCUCAAGGACAGAAAAUCUUCUAUUUCUGUUUUGUUUUGAAAACAGAUCCUUGCAAACAUAAUGUAUACGUCAUAAGUAAAAUAGAUUAUCAUAAAUGGAAAAGCUAUAGAAAAAAAAUGUGUUACUUAGAUUCCAUGAUCAUGAAGCUGUUAGUUUUUGGCUGGAGCCUUCACACAGAUACAGUUCUCAGAGUGCUUUUACAGUCAAUCCCUCUUCCCAGGAAUCUCUGAGAAUUAUAUCUCUGUAAGGGAAAUAGGGGUAUCCUGGCAUUUCUCAGCACCUUUACCAGACUACAGUUCCCAGGAUUAUUUGGGGAAAGCCAUGACUGCUUAAGGUAGUAUGAUGUUGCUUAUGAUAGGGGGCCUUACAACAGAGCUUUGUAAACUACUAUAUUUUAGUUGGCAACAUGAUUUUCCUGUCUCUAACCUGCAUUUUUGGGCAUCAAUAAGGUCAUAUCCAGGCACAGGGCCUUCUCGGUAGUGGCGCCCACCCUGUGAAAUGCCCUCCCAUGAGAUGUCAAGGAAAUAACUACCUGACUUUUAGAAAACAUCUGAAGGCAGCCCUGUUUAGGGAAGUUUUUAAUGUUUGAUGUAUUAUCAUGUUUUUAAUAGUCUGUUGUGGGCUGCCCAGAGUAGCUGGGGAAACCCUGCCAGAUGGGUGGGCUACAAAUAAUAAAUUAUUAUUAUUAUUAUUAUUUACUACUGCUACUACAUUUUGCUUUUGGGUGGACUGCCAAGCCACAGCUACACUAAAAUUGUAAUUUUCUCUAUUUUCCCUGGGCAAGACUCACUUCUCUGUCUGGAAAAAUGUGAAUCUCCCUUGGGGCAUGGACAUGUCAGUCGCAGCUUUAACAUCACUCAUUGGCUAAAAACACUAAAAGGCAAGAACAUGCUUCCAUUUCAGAAAGCAGCUGCUUUGAACGAUGCCUGCGCAUUUUGCUUCUCAAUUUUUGUUCUACAAGGGCUUGAGACCCUCUUUUUAAAAUCUUGAAAGUUCAGAGCAGGCUUCCUCAACCUCGGCCCUCCAGCUGUUUUGAGACUACAAUUCCCAACAUCCCUGACCACUGGUCCUGCUAGCUAGGGAUCAUGGGAGUUGUAGGCCACAACAUCCGGAGGGCCGAGGUUGAGGACAGAGUCUGAGCCCCUGAUAGCACAGGCUCUGUACCCCUCCGCAGUGGUUCUUGCUUGGCGCUUUUCUCCCACUCAACUUCUGUGAUUUGCUGCUUUGUUUGCAUCAGCAUAGGGGUUUUUUUUAAUAGAGAGAGAGCUGACUGCCAAUACUAUUUCAAAAUCCCUUCAUGAGCAGAGUCACCAAGGCAGCACAAAGUCUGCCAAGAACAGAAUGUUAUUUCCACCCACCCGGUGCCACAAUGGCAGGAGACACCCUCUAAUCACCCUCUGUAUUAUGAUCCAAACUUGUGCUCUGCUCUCACUUGAAAUAGGAAGGAAGCUGCGUACAGGCUUAAGAUACAUUGGCAGUUUAUUUUCAGACAAGUAGUGGGCAUUUUAGGUCAAUGAGAAGCAGAGGUUGCCCCCACAGAAGUAGGUGUCAUUAAAACCAAAGAAGCCAUGAAACAGUCAUUUAGUUUGACACCACCCUCCUCUGUAAUCUGUCUACAGACCAAGACACAGCCCAUGGUUUGAGCUGCAAAUAUUACCCUCUUUCCACUGCACCGAUAUACAAAGAAAAGCUAUGAGACCAGUGAUCAAUGGAAAUGUAUGAGAAUGAAACUGGGUCUAUGAUUUACUUCUACUUGAAGUUUGUUAACUUAGGCAGAGUUCUAAUUAUUAUUUCUUUGUUGUUUCUCCUUACAAAGCUCAGUUGGCUGUAUUAACCUUGCCUGAGCUAGUCACUAGUUUCUUCCUUCCCACCGACUCCCAGACUUAACUGAACCUACUACAAUCAGCACCUGGAAUUGUAGUAAACCUGCCAGCCAGUAUGAUGCCAUUGCAGCCCUGCUGAUUUUGACAUACCCAGAUGGUUUGGCACAACCCUGCCUAUAAAGGUAAUUACAGGCAUCCAACAUGCUUUGAUACCCAGGAAAGUGCCAGACUUUCAUUCAGAUUCAAAUAUUCUGUUUAGGGCUCCAUGAACACUAUGCAAAUUUUUUGGAUCCUGCUUUAAAGAAGCUAAUGUGUUUGUGUUUAACAGUGCCCCACUAUGACUUUUCCUCCAUUAUGUUCAUGUCAUAUUUGUGAGAAAACUUUGGACAUUUCUCGAAGAGCCUCUGUUAAUAUUUCUUAUCUUCCUAAGAAGCAGUUGCUCUAAGAUCCUACAACCCACCCUCCCCACAUCAAAAGAAAAAACAAAACAAACACCCCAAGGCCAUCAAAUAUUUAACAAAGAUAGAACAGAAUAUUCUCACAGCCUUGUUCCAAGCGGACAGAUGUUUGCAUCAGAAGAACCACCAUCCGAAUUGUCACUUAACUGUUGCCCUUGGUAGGACAUUCAACAGUUUCACCCAGGAGUGAACAACUUUUGGAAGCUGAGUGGAAACAUAGUGGAAAAGAAUAUAGAAGGCAAAAAGACUGCAUUCAAGACCAUUAUUAUUAUUAUUAUUAUUAUUAUUAUUAUUAUUAUUAUUAUUAUUACCCUGCCCAUUUAGCUGGGUUUCCACAGCCACUCUGGGCAGCUCCCAACAGAAAUAAUAAUAAUAAUAAUAAUAAUAAUACAUGCAGGACUCCCUUCUCGGCAGUCUGCCUCUCCUCAAUACUGAAUUCUGGUAGGGAAAGAACACUUAAAUAAAAAAAUGGAUUUCUUAUAUACACCACAUGCACAAAAAACCUAUUCGCUCCCUCACUCCCUACACAGACUGAACAUAUGGAGGGGGAACACGUGGAUAGGUCACUGAUCUUCAUCCAUGAAUUUGAAUGAGAUGCUGCACAAGUGUAGUUUAUGUACAACUGCUGCACUCAUUUUAUUUAUUAGUUUUAUUCAUACCCUGCUCUUCAUCUAUCAAGAUCCCGGAGCAGUUUACAAAACAUAAGCUCAUAGAAUACCUCAAAACCCAAAGCAAUAACACUUAGAAAACCAUCCUCUAAACCAGCUGUUUUGGGACUACAACUCCCAUCAUCCCUAGCUAACAGGACCAGUGGUCAGGGAUUAUGGGAACUGUGGUCCCAAAACAGCGGGAGGCCCAAGUUUGGCCAUCACUGCUCUAAACAUUACAAGCAGCGGAAACUUCAUAAUGCCACAAAACUGUGAUAUGGCCCACUUUUUCAACUAAUUUCCAAAAGCCUGAAUGAAUAAGAAUGCUUUCAACUGGCAUUAGAAAGUUACAAAUGAAGGGGAAUCCUGCAGUUUUGGUACUAUGGGUGUAGCUAAGGGGGUGCUGGGGGGACAGCUGCCCCUCCUAAGUAAAUAAAUAAAAACCACUUAACUAACUGACCAGUUGUGUCACAGAUAACUCAGUUCUGCCCCACCUAACAUAAUGCCUGCCCUUCUAAAAUAAAUCCUGGCUAUGCUCAUGUGUGGUGCCACUAUGAAGAAGGUUCCAUCUCAUGCUGCUGGACAUGUAUGAUCACUGCUUGUGAUUCAGAACCUUGAUGUCAUGAACUGGCAGGACAACAGGAAGGAGGGAGGAGGAAGAGGAUCUCGGUGAGAGGUGUAGCCAGGAGUGGGAAACACCAGGGCAAGCUGGGAGUGGGGAAGGAGAGGGUCGUGUAUGACGUACACACGGGGUGAUGGUGGAUGACAAGGCAAUGGGGGUCCGUGCACAGGAACCAAAUUAGCAGAGCCAGAGGAGCCCCUAUCUCCACAAACACGCUCUGAGGCGCAGGAAGCAGUGGACGGGGCACUCCAGGAGGCUGAGGCAGGUAAGGGCCCACAGCUAAGCUCCAAAACUAGCCAGGUGGGGCUCGCUAGCUCUGGGAGGAGAGGUGUGAUUCUUCAGCUGGAGUAGGCUUGGAGCAGGUGAGGGUCACAUGCCUCAUGAAGCCUAGAUGCUGCAAUCAGAAUGCAAAGUAGGAAAGGGAAGCAGAGCUGAGACACUGUGUCUGCUCAACUGUCCACGUUGAGGGACCGCAGCUUGGAUGUUCCAGGACUGUUCUUUGGUUUGGACAUGUGGAUUGACCCUGGACUGGGGACUCAACAUACAGACUUGCUGCCAGGUAGUUUAAGACACUUGAGAACAGCAUUCCUGAUUGCAAGUACAAUACAAACCUACACAUAAAUGUAGUUUUCUGUGCAUGCAUCCCGAUCUCACCUCCUACUGAAUGCAUAGAAGGCAGGGGCAGUGGAUAUGAAGAAGUUGGACUGGCUUAAGUCUACAAUCAGUUCAAAUUCCUUGGCAGCUGUAGCAGUGGUCUCAAAGAUGAGUGCAGAUAGUCAAUGGAUUGAAGCUGGGUAUUAGAAAAAAAAUAAUUUCUAAAGCUUAAUAAACAGCUAAUCCUUUUCUGUCAUUCCCCCAACAAGCACUUUACCAGGCAAGUGUCCCUCUUGUCCUUUAUAUUGUUAUGAGUUUAUGGGUACUGGGAAUUUAGAGGAAUUUAGUGGAUAAUGCUAGGAAAUCAACAUGAGCUAAGUGUUAAUUGAGUCAGACUAAUUUCCUUUGAGGUAAUGAGUCAUUAUCACAACCCAGGAUCAAAGGAAGGGGGUCUCUCCCUGUGUUAGGAAAGGCCAGAGCUUAGGUCAGAAAAGUUAGAGUAAGCUGGACAUUAUGUGACCUAGGAAGGCAAGCUGCAGGGCAAGGAUGUUGCUGUUUCUAUGGGAGACACUGGAGCCUUUUGGAAUGUUGAUGCUCUGAACCCCUCCAUCGUAGGCUCAGGUUGUAUAUAUGUGUAAAUAAACCAUAUAUCAUAAAGACGCCACAGUCUUUAAAUUGCCUGCGUCUCAUUUUCCAAAAAGAAAUGCAGAACUUGGGUAAGUGUGCCUGGUACCCCUGGAAUCUUGCACCACUCAGCAGAGAUUAGGGUGAUGUGUAACAUCCCUUGCUUUUAUAGUAUCUCUUUUUCUUUAGCCCAGAUUACUGCAGCCCCUCUCCCAUUUUACCAGUAGUCUUCCAGUCAAUACCACCCUUUUGCAUACCCAGUUCUCACUUUUGCCUACAAUCCAGCAGGGCCCACCUUGAAAAAUGCCUCAUUAGACUUGAAUGCUGACCUGGACUUUUAAACUCUUAAGUACUCUGUUUCUGCUCCAUUAGGCCAUAUGCAGCCUACAUCAGCAGAAGUUCUUCAUUUCAUUAGAUUCAAAAGUUGUUUUUAUUUUGUUUGAAUUCCUUAAAGCCCAGUCCCAGUUAUGGCAUGCAUUAUUGAGUUUCAGAUCCACAGCAGCUUUUCCUGAGUGUUGAAAUAUUACCUCUGGACCCCCUUUCAGCUUUUUGAUUGUGGGAUCCUAAUGUGUUGAGGGAAAAUGGUAAAUUCACCAUGGUGUUUACUUUAUGCUAAAAGAGAGAGAGAGAAAAAGAAUGUUUCUUAUGCAAAAAAGAAGAUUUGCGAUGAUCCUCCAGUGAACUACACAUGAACCACGACAGAGGCUUUGUAGUGAUUUUCAGGAAUCUCUUUAAUUGAACCAUCAGUUGUUUGUUCCAGCUAAUUGAGUUCCCCUCUAGUAAUUACUCUUUGGAGCCCUUUAUGACACAAUGCAUACCCUGUUGAUACUUUAAACAGUUUCUUAAGCUCAAUUGUUGCCUAUGACUUUUUCAGCCACAUCUAACUGGCAUUGAAUUGCUUCCCAACUGGAAUAAAAUGGACUAGUGAUUUGUUGCUUUUCAUAGCACUGCAUCCUGCAAAAAACUUUGACAUUAUCCAGUUCCUCAGUGCUAAGAGCAAGCCAGAUUUUGUGUGCUUAAGGCUAUUUUCAAUGUGUUUGUGUCCAUGAUAUACUUACAUUUCCACAUCUUUAUCUAACAUGAUUAUGUGAAGGGAGAGGAGAGAAUGAGCAUCAGAAUUAUGAUAUAUUGCAAGAAGCUUAUCAUUGAUUUGUUUAUCAUAGGCUGCAUCAACAGAAGUAUAGUGUCCAGAUCAAGGGAACUAAUAGUACCACUUUGUUCUGUUUUGGUCAGACCACACAAGGAAUACUCUGUCCAGUUCUAGGCACUACAAUUUAAGAACGAUGCUGACAAACUGGAACGUGCGCAGAGAAGGGCAACUAAGAUGAUCAAGGGUCUGGAAAUCAAGCUUUAUGAGGGAAGUGGGUAUGUUUAGCCUGGAAAAAGAGGAGACUGAAAGGAGGUAUGAUAACAUCUUAAAAUAUUUUAAGGGCUCUCUACAUGGAAGACGGAGCAAGCUUGGUUUCUCCUGCUCCAGACAGUAGGACAGGAACCAAUGACUACUAUUUGCCCUAAAAGUAAAUAGCCCAUUCUGUAACAAAUGGUGGUUGGGAAGCACUACCAUAAAAAGGCCACUUUAAGGAUGAUAUACACCUUGGCUCUCAAACAGCCUUAGCAAUCAUAGUCUGCCCAAUUCUGAUGGUAGGUUGUCAUCAACUACUAGCCUAAAUGUGGCAACCUCACUGUGUCUCUGAUGGCCUCCUGUGCUCCAGCUUAACUCUGCCAUCCCAGAAAUCCUCCUACUUUUCCAUUACCUUGAACAACUAUGCAAGACUGGGCUUUUUCUGAGCAAGAAAGCAUUCCUCUUGACUGUCUGGCAGCCAUUCCCAGUUCCUCUUCCACUGUCCUCUGAAAUAUCCUGAAGACAAAAGUUCCAACUUUUGUGCUUCCUACUUCCCACCAUGCCAUCUCUCCAAGCUUUCAUUAGCCCAGAAUCACAACCAUUACAUAUGCAAUUUUAUUUACGAAAGUGUAUAUUCCGAUUACUUAAUAGAAGACCAUGGAACUGCUUUCCCAGUUCAUUCAGUGAAUGAUCCAUGACAGACAUACUGACAGACUAUAAAGAAACUUGUGUGGUGCAGUGUUUAAGGCAGGGACAGGCAACUAAGGCCCAGGGGCCGGAUGCAGCCCAAUCGCCUUCUAAAUCCGGCCCGCAGAUGGUCUGGGAAUCAGCGUGUUUUUACAUGAGUAGAAUGUGUGCUUUUAUUUAAAAUUCAUCUCUGGGUUAUUUGUGGGGCCUGCCCGGUGUUUUUAUAUGAGUAGAAUGUGUGCUUUUAUUUAAAAUGCAUCUCUAAGUUAUUUGUGGGGCACAGGAAUUAGUUCAUAUUUUUUUCCAAAAUAUAGUCCGGCCCACCACAUGGACUGAGGGACGGUAGACUGGCCCACGGCUGAAAAAGGUUGCUGACCCCUGGUUUAAGGGUUGAAUUCUGAGCCAACAAGUGCCUGAGCUAAAACUCUGGUAAAACCAUAAACAAUCUAGGUACAGUAUGUCAUAUUACUAUCGUAUACUGUUAUCUGUGGUAUGAGAGUAAUAAUGGACCAGUAGUCAAGAGUUCAACACAAUAUAAUAGUGUCCUAACUUAGAAGGUCUUUCCAAGAAUUACCAACAGAACAAUGCUAUGCCCUGACCAGGGAAUGGUGGAGAAGCAGAAUGAACACAGCAUCUGAAUGAUUAAAAGGGGUAUCAGUCAGGGUGGAAGGCAGAGAGGAUUUUAAGAAAAAUGUUCCACUGCACUAACUUCAGACUGAAGCAGUUGAGGAGCAUAAAGAUUGGACACCUCAGGGGAUCCACAGGACUUUGCCCUAUUUCCCAAACUGCCUGCUUGUGGUCCUUCCAUAGGUUUUUCUGCCAGCUUCCUGCCUGGAUUGACACAUCAGAGACCCUUGCAUCAUCAGAGACUCCCCAAUAGAAACUGCUGGAAGUCAGUGGAGAACAGCAUAGCCUAACCCUCCCCAGCAGCAGAGAUCUCAGGGUUAGGAUGGCACAGUAAAUAAAGUGUGUGAAAUGUAGGGAUGGAAGAAGAAUUUGUUAUGUCGGACCAACUGACAGUGAGGAUCUCAAACUUAUUUGUGGAUUGAAAUGCAUCUCCCGACUGGAUCACACACUUAAUCCAGAUUUUUGUGAUUUGGCAACCUGAAUGCACAUUCGUUUAAAAAAAUGUAUACAAAUUAAAGGCGGACUUGCAUUCUUGCACAAAACAUGAUGGAACAGAACUGUGACUGAGCACCAGCCACACUGAAAUGGGAUGAAAUCAGGCCGCUCAGAACAUCCCUAAUGAAAUGCUUUGAGAACUUUGGCAAUGCUAUAUAUAUAAAUACUCCGCUUCAUUGUAGUCAAGAGGCAAUAUUUCAAAUGCUAAUAGCAUAUUAUUUUAGAGACUUGUUAGGAACAUUUGUUUAUUCCUCCACUAAAACAGCACCAAGAGAGAACUCUGCCAUAAAAACACAGUUGGGGUGUUUUUUAUGUACAUUCUUGUGGGCCAUUCUUAUAUGUUACAGAAAUAUUAACAAGACAAAGAAGGAAUAUGUCAGUGCAUUUCUAAAAUCUGAGGCUGGUGAAAAACUCUUGAGGAAUCCCUGAGUGUUAUAAUUAUGGUUGAAUCUGUUCCAAGGCUGAUUUACUAGUAGAUCAAACCCAAGGUGGAAUAAUCAGUAAGUGCAUUUUUUUCAAGAAACAAAACAAUAUUUAUCCACAGAAAAUCCUGACAAUUGCAUUGUUGAACAGGUGCUCUGGACGUAUUCCAGUGUGGGAAGUUAGUUCCAUUUCUGCAUAUUCUUCUACUGAUUCAGUACAGGAUGUGGCAUUAAUACCCAUGUUUUGUGGUGUCAGUUGUCACUGUUAAAGAGAAGUAGCGUUCUGCCAGAUAUGGAGAAAAUGGCAAUGUUUUAUUUUUAAACUUAAUGAUUACCCUUCUAGAGGAAGAAGCUGUUAGGUUUUCAGGAUAUGAGAUGAUUCCAAGGACUUUCAAAGACAAUGAUGUGUUGUUGUUUUUUAAAUGUUCCUAAUCUUAACUGUCCCCCAAGAGUUAUAUAAAUGAUAAAAUGCCCCCAACCUCUAACAUGCUUCAUACUCUUCUCAACAAAGGAGUUGUCAACCACCUCCCUUCGGUGGGUAUAUACACACACCACCAGGUAAGUUCGCCAGGGGUCCAUUAAUUUUAAAUUUUAGGUUACAAUCCUAUGCCUACUUCCUUGGAAAUAACUCCACUGAGUUCAAUGGGACUUACUGCUGAGUAGGCAUGCACAGGAUUGCAUUCCUAGUAUUUAAUUCAAGGGUAACUCAACUUUAUUGAGCACAGUAUUUUGUAUUUUGUACAAAAAAUACAAAUGCUCCGCACACACAAAUCUGAAUUCUACAGUCAAAUCAGUUUUGCAUAUUUAGGAAAUGUCCAUUUAGGGACUUCUGCUUAUCAGUUGGGGAAUAAGAAAGAACAAAGUGGGGCACUGAAAGCCCCAGCCAUUGACAGUCCUCUGCCCCACAGAGGACAACUCAGCUGAGAUGCUGAAUUAUGUAUCUAGUAGUUCAAAUUCCACUUGAACUACAGAAUGAAUAUCAGAAACAUUUUGCUCCACUAUUAAGCUUGCCAGUUUGGAUCCAUUUGCAUUUCCUAAACCAGGUUCCUCUCUGUUUGUUUAAUGAACUGAAUGUCCCUAAAUUUAUAAUAUUAUAAGAGCCAAUAUGGUGCAGUGGUUAAGAGCGGUAGUCUCGUAAUCUGGGGAACCAGGUUCGCGUCUCCGCUCCUCCACAUGCAGCUGCUGGGUGACCUUGGGCUAGUCACACUUCUCUGAAGUCUCUCAGCCCCACUCACCUCACAGAGUGUUUGUUGUGGGGGAGGAAGGGAAAGGAGAAUGUUAGCCGCCUUGAGACUCCUUCGGGUAGUGAUAAAGCGGGAUAUCAAAUCCAAACU